AGGACUCUAUUUGAGAGUGGAUAUUUUCUAGAAGGCAAUAUUCCUAUUUAAACUCUCAGCUAUAUUUUGUCGUAUAUUACACGAUGGUUGUAUAAUUAAGUUUGUAUUUGUAUUCUGUACCAUGUAUUUGGCGACUUAAGAUGGGUGAUGUAUACCUAUUUUGGGGGCGUCACAAAUAUCUUUGGCCCGUAGUGCAAAGAUGAUCUGUUGUUGAAUAUCUUUGGCCCGCAGUGCAAAG
rnacentral:lncRNA from 1 species